GUGGGGAAUAUUGGACAAUGGGGGGAACCCUGAUCCAGCCAUGCCGCGUGUGUGAAGAAGGCCUUUUGGUUGUAAAGCACUUUAAGUGAGGAGGAGGCUACCGAGAUUAAUACUCUUGGAUAGUGGACGUUACUCGCAGAAUAAGCACCGGCUAACUCUGUGCCAGCAGCCGCGGUAAUACAGAGGGUGCAAGCGUUAAUCGGAUUUACUGGGCGUAAAGCGCGCGUAGGUGGCCAAUUAAGUCAAAUGUGAAAUCCCCGAGCUUAACUUGGGAAUUGCAUUCGAUACUGGUUGGCUAGAGUAUGGGAGAGGAUGGUAGAAUUCCAGGUGUAGCGGUGAAAUGCGUAGAGAUCUGGAGGAAUACCGAUGGCGAAGGCAGCCAUCUGGCCUAAUACUGACACUGAGGUGCGAAAGCAUGGGGAGCAAACAGGAUUAGAUACCCUUGUAGUCC
rnacentral:rRNA from 1 species